rnacentral:rRNA from 1 species
GAUGAACGAUGGCGGCGUGCCUAAUACAUGCAAGUCGAGCGAACAGACGAGGAGCUUGCUCCUCUGACGUUAGCGGCGGACGGGUGAGUAACACGUGGAUAACCUACCUAUAAGACUGGGAUAACUUCGGGAAACCGGAGCUAAUACCGGAUAAUAUAUUGAACCGCAUGGUUCAAUAGUGAAAGACGGUUUUGCUGUCACUUAUAGAUGGAUCCGCGCCGCAUUAGCUAGUUGGUAAGGUAACGGCUUACCAAGGCAACGAUGCGUAGCCGACCUGAGAGGGUGAUCGGCCACACUGGAACUGAGACACGGUCCAGACUCCUACGGGAGGCAGCAGUAGGGAAUCUUCCGCAAAGGGCGAAAGCCUGACGGAGCAACGCCGCGUGAGUGAUGAAGGUCUUCGGAUCGUAAAACUCUGUUAUUAGGGAAGAACAAAUGUGUAAGUAACUAUGCACGUCUUGACGGUACCUAAUCAGAAAGCCACGGCUAACUACGUG